UACAGAGGUCUCAAGCGUUUGUUCGGAUUCAUUGGGCGUAAAGGGUGCGUAGGUGGCGCCGUAAGUGGGGUGUGAAAUUUCGGAGCUUAACUCCGAAACUGCAUUCCAUACUGCGGUGCUUGAGGACUGGAGAGGAGACUGGAAUUUACGGUGUAGCAGUGAAAUGCGUAGAGAUCGUAAGGAAGACCAGUGGCGAAGGCGGGUCUCUGGACAGUUCCUGACACUGAGGCACGAAGGCCAGGGGAGCAAACGGG
rnacentral:rRNA from 1 species